rnacentral:rRNA from 1 species
CUGUCACUUAUAGAUGGAUCCGCGCUGCAUUAGCUAGUUGGUAAGGUAACGGCUUACCAAGGCAACGAUGCAUAGCCGACCUGAGAGGGUGAUCGGCCACACUGGAACUGAGACACGGUCCAGACUCCUACGGGAGGCAGCAGUAGGGAAUCUUCCGCAAUGGGCGAAAGCCUGACGGAGCAACGCCGCGUGAGUGAUGAAGGUCUUCGGAUCGUAAAACUCUGUUAUUAGGGAAGAACAUAUGUGUAAGUAACUGUGCACAUCUUGACGGUACCUAAUCAGAAAGCCACGGCUAACUACGUGCCAGCAGCCGCGGUAAUACGUAGGUGGCAAGCGUUAUCCGGAAUUAUUGGGCGUAAAGCGCGCGUAGGCGGUUUUUUAAGUCUGAUGUGAAAGCCCACGGCUCAACCGUGGAGGGUCAUUGGAAACUGGAAAACUUGAGUGCAGAAGAGGAAAGUGGAAUUCCAUGUGUAGCGGUGAAAUGCGCAGAGAUAUGGAGGAACACCAGUGGCGAAGGCGACUUUCUGGUCUGUAACUGACGCUGAUGUGCGAAAGCGUGGGGAUCAAACAGGAUUAGAUACCCUGGUAGUCCACGCCGUAAACGAUGAGUGCUAAGUGUUAGGGGGUUUCCGCCCCUUAGUGCUGCAGCUAACGCAUUAAGCACUCCGCCUGGGGAGUACGACCGCAAGGUUGAAACUCAAAGGAAUUGACGGGGACCCGCACAAGCGGUGGAGCAUGUGGUUUAAUUCGAAGCAACGCGAAGAACCUUACCAAAUCUUGACAUCCUUUGACAACUCUAGAGAUAGAGCUUUCCCCUUCGGGGGACAAAGUGACAGGUGGUGCAUGGUUGUCGUCAGCUCGUGUCGUGAGAUGUUGGGUUAAGUCCCGCAACGAGCGCAACCCUUAAGCUUAGUUGCCAUCAUUAAGUUGGGCACUCUAAGUUGACUGCCGGUGACAAACCGGAGGAAGGUGGGGAUGACGUCAAAUCAUCAUGCCCCUUAUGAUUUGGGCUACACACGUGCUACAAUGGACAAUACAAAGGGCAGCGAAACCGCGAGGUCAAGCAAAUCCCAUAAAGUUGUUCUCAGUUCGGAUUGUAGUCUGCAACUCGACUACAUGAAGCUGGAAUCGCUAGUAAUCGUAGAUCAGCAUGCUACGGUGAAUACGUUCCCGGGUCUUGUACACACCGCCCGUCACACCACGAGAGUUUGUAACACCCGAAGCCGGUGGAGUAACCUUUUAGGAGCUAGCCGUCGAAGGUGGGACAAAUGAUUGGGGUGAAGUCGUAACAAGGUAGCCGUAUCGGAAGGUGCGGCUGGAUCACCUCCUUU